rfam:Hordeum vulgare subsp. vulgare, WGS project CAJW01000000 data, contig: morex_contig_68566
CAUGUACUCCCUCCGUCCCAAAAUUCUUGUCUUAAGUUGGCCUAGAAAUAGAUGUAUCUAAAUAUCAAAAUGUGACUAGAUACAUUCAUAUCUAGACAAAUUUAAGACAAAUUUUUUGAGAUGGAGGAAGUAUGAG